AUGCUCACUUCAGCAGCACAAAGAGUAAUAUUAGAACCACACAGAGGAGAUGAGCAAGGCCCCCAGACAAAGAUGGCAUGCAAAUCUGUGAAGAAUUCUGUGUUUUC
ensembl:snRNA U6 U6 spliceosomal RNA